AGUUACUCAUGCCUGUAGGCUCCUAUGUCAGUUGAGCAAAGUUUCAUCUUUUAUUCUCGCUAGUGUGAAAUCUAUGAGUUUGACUGAGGUUGGGUUGUACGGGAUGAGGGGUGCUUGAUUGGGUUGGUUUUCUUUCCAAAUUUUGAUGUACAGGAUGGAUGGGAUGAGGCUUCAAACAUGGCAUCAAAGACUUUUUGAAAAUCAAUGUAUAGACCAGUAAUUGCGUAGUGCAGUAAGUAUAGAUCAGAGCAGGCACAACAUCACCUAUAAUCUACAAUUUAUCCUUUCUUACUGUUAUCCUUUCCUACUGUUGCUUUAAAUUUGAUGCUCUAUGUCAAAGCCAGAAAGGACAUUAUUAAGGUUCAUGAUUUUCAUAAAGGUAUUAACAUCUUCAUGAUUUGACUGUUGUUUGGCAGUCAUGAUUGGUAUGUAAUGAGGUGUAAUUGAAAAGACUCUUACUUUUUGCCAAAUGAUGUUUCUGGUCUCUAAAAGAAUAUUCAGUUAAUGCUAAUUACUACACAAUUUUUUAAUACUAUGUUGUAGGAAUUACCUGGUGUCUGGAGUCAGCAAGCAGAUCCAAGUCAAUAGAGCAGCACCUAUUAUGGUUACGGACAAGGUUAUGAUGCCUAUGGUUAUGGGACUACACAUGAUCCUUCAUUAUAUGCCUAUGGUACAUACCCUGGUUACGCGCAGUACCCUUAAUAGGGUUUUGAGAAACUGUAACAUGUCUGGUGAAAUCCCGAAAUAUAUUUGGAAAAUGAUGAAUCUGCAAAUGUUGUAGAUUCUGUAGUUUACCUUGUUGACGCGUACGACAAAGAGAGAUUUGCAGAGGCCAAAAAGGAGCUGGAUGCCCUACAUAAAAAAGAACAACAAUACUCAACCUUGUUAACAUCAUAUGUUCUUUUUUUUUAAAUUGAUGCUGAUUAUGUUAAAUUUUUGUUGGAAUGAAUUUUUUUUUGUUUUUUGGGGUUUAGAAUAGGGUUUUGUGAAUUGUUCCUUGUUUUUAGAAUCAAUGUUGCUGCUGCUGAGUUAUGUGUUGAAACUUGGAUAUAGAAAAUUUUAUAAUAAGACCUGUUUUGAUU